CCCCUUCCCUGUUAGGUGGGCUGUUUUCAUUAUCAUUUGCUUGUUUAUUGAUUGGUGACAUGGCCAGUCUAUUUUAAUGAAGUCUAUUUCCCUGCAGUGUCUCUCCUAAGUAAGGCACAGCUUUGGACAUUCAUAGUUACUUGGGACAACAGUUUUAGCAGGGCUCUCUUUCUCCUUUCCUGAUCUCUCUGUUAAGCUGCCUGGCUCAUUUGAUAUCACAUCCAAAUUAUCAGCUGAUUGCUCUAUUGUUUUGGACAAUGCCCUGAAGCAUACCAAAAUGUGUCUGGAAUUGGUGGGUUCUUGGUCUUACUGACUUUAAGAAUGAAGUUGCGGACUUUUGCGAUGUGUGAACCUCCAGAACUGUGAAAUAAACAACCUCAGUCAACAUCAAGCAGAAUUCAAAGAAGUCUAAAGUCUUAAUAAUUGUCUGUUCAGUCUGGGAGGAAAGGACUAAAAUGGCAUGAAUCCAGGUGAUCCACCCUACCACAUAUUGUCUCCUAAUGGCCGUCCAGUUUAUCCUGGAGCCCUUGCAUGACACAGGCCUAUCGAAGCAUAGGAGAUGCCAAUAUUUUACCUCUUGGGUACUUUCUGUGUAGAAGAUUCAUAACAAGAACAAUACUUAUUCUGCAAUUCUUUAUAUAAAGCUAAAAGAAAAUGCAUUCUGCCAACAACUAAUGAGCUUGGAAGAGAACUCCAAACCCCAGAAGAGGCCUGUCACAUUGGCUAACACCUUGAUUUCCACCCACUGAGACCUUGAGCAGAGACUUCAGUUACACCCCACCCAGACUUCUGACCUGCAAAACUGUGAGCUAAUACAUGGAUGGUGUUUCAAGCUUCUGUUUGUAAAAUAUUGUUCCCCAGCAAUAGAAAAGUAAUACAUUUAUCUAAAAUCCUAUUGUUGAUAAAUGAGAGUCCAAGAUCUCCUAAGACUUAAAACAAGUCUUUUAUCUCCUGCUAGAGACAGAGAUAACAAACAGUGAUUUAAGAAUGCAUUUGAUCAAGCACCAAGGUAUAUAAUCAAGGUAUAGAUGCCCAUUGGGUGAGGAACACCCAAACUACUAUUCUUUAAUCAAUAAGAGAAGGUAAAAACUGAGAUUUAUAAUUGGUCAAACAUUAAUUCUGAAUAAAAGAAAACUAUUUCAGAGAAAGUGGAAUGUAUCUCCCACUAAAUUGCAUGGCUAGGAGUUAAAAAAAAAGGAAGCUACUCCUCCAACAUUUUAGCCUUUCAAAUCUGGUGGUACCAGCUAGAAACUAACAGGGGAUAUUUG
rnacentral:lncRNA from 1 species